AAGGGUUCUGUUAUUUAUGCAGCAUACCAGCAUACUCUCCAGCAAACAUGCACAGCUUCCCUUUCUACCUUUCGCAUUAACUACUACUACUAUUAUUAUUAUUAUUGUUUGCUCUUCACCAUACGAUACAAGGGUGAGUUACAACAUUGCAAAAAUACAAUAUUAAGAUCAAUUUUAAACCACUUACAAUCAGAAGAAUUUAGUGUGUCCUAAAAUGUAUCCUUCUCAGGUGUCAAAGGUACGGUCACCAGAAUACUCCAGCUAGGAAUAAUGGAAUAGGACUCUGGUUCUAUUUUGUUGGUUUUUGGAACUGGGGCCAUGAUUAAGAAGGACGGCCAGGGGCAUUUGUAUUGUGCCACUAGAGGUGAAAUUCUUGGACUGGCGCAAGAGGAACCAGAGCGAAAGCAUUUGCCAAGAAUGUUUUCAUUAAUCAAGAACAAAAGUCGGAGGUUCAAAGAUUAACAGAUACUGUCAUAGUUCCAACCAUAAACGAUGCUGACUAGCGAUCCGGCGGCGUUAUUCCCCCCCACCAAAAAAUAAAGGUAAAGAGGC